CACCUUGUAAAUUGAAAUCCACACUUUCAACUUCAGGUAGAAAACAAGUCUAGACUAGAGACCUAAAUCUAGACCUAGAUAUCAUAUAGAUAUAGAUUAAACUAGUCUAUACUAUAUAGGCAGGUUACUUUUCUAGAUGAUCUUGAUCUACUCCUAGACUCUGAUCUGUGGUUCUAGAUCUAUGAGAUCAUCCAAAUCCAAUGUCUCCAGAUUUCCAGUCGAAACACUUGUGCAUUAACCUAUUUAACUUAGCAAUAUUUCGUCAUCACUGGCACACAGGUAAACAGAACUAGAGGCCUGGAAAAUAGGUUCAUACCAUUUAGUCCCUCGUAUUGGUCCCCCACCUCGUGUCACAGCGCUGUAAGUCAUUAUGUUGUCUGCUAGCACUGGGGGUUGACC